UACGAGUGCCCCGAGCGUUAUCCGGAAUUAUUGGGCGUAAAGGGUGUGUAGGCGGUAGUGUUAGUCUUUCGUUAAAUUCUUCGGCUUAACCGGGGGCAUGCGAAAGAAACGGCACAACUAGAGGAUGCGAGAGGUGAAUGGAACUCAUGGAGUAGGGGUGAAAUCCGUUGAUAUCAUGGGGAACACCAAAUGCGAAGGCAAUUCACUGGCGCACUCCUGACGCUGAGACACGAAAGCGUAGGUAGCGAAUGGG
rnacentral:rRNA from 1 species